rnacentral:rRNA from 1 species
UACGUAGGGAGCAAGCGUUGUCCGUAAUCAUUGGGCGUAAAGCGCGCGUAGGUGGCUUCAUAAGUCCGUUGUGAAAGUCAAAGGCUCAACCUUUGAAAGCCGAUGGAUACUGUGGAGCUAGAGUACGGAAGAGGCGAGUGGAAUUCCUGGUGUAGCGGUGGAAUGCGCAGAUAUCAGGAGGAACACCAAUAGCGAAGGCAGCUCGCUGGGACGUUACUGACACUAAGGCGCGAAAGCGUGGGGAGCGAACAGG